rnacentral:rRNA from 1 species
AACAAGGUUUCUGUAGGUGAACCUGCGGAAGGAUCAUUGU